GUUGCUGUGAAUUAUAUCAGCUGGUAUACUUUCCAGACAAGUGUCUUCUUGGAAAUAGAAUUAUUGUAUUGUGACUGACAGAAUAUGAAGCACUGAUAUUUAGUGUGAUCAUCUUCUCUCUUAUAGCCUACUGAUGUGGCAAUACCAUAGCUGUUUUCUGCUGCUAAUGAUGAAUAUAUGCUCUGGAGUGCCACCUAUUUUCAUGCUAGCAGACUGAGCCUGGAAGACUAUGAUAAAUUAGAGGAGACUUGUGAACUUCUACUUGCGCACUAAAUCUAUUGCUGUACUCUUUGCUAAAUCUCACCUUACUGACAGCAUCCCUGUAUAUGGCUUGAAUGACUUUCACUGGCCAUUCAUCUAUUCUUAGCUAGCCAAUGACAACCAGAUCAUGAAGGAAGGGACCCUGUUGAAGACUUUUACCAGGAUGAGGAAAGCCAAGUAUAGUGGUUUACUUUUGGUCAAAUAUUUUUCCUGAAAUUGUCUUACAAGACAGAGGGUAUUGGUAUUACCACUCAACUGAAUCACCAACUCCCAGAUAAUCAAACAUUCAAGGCCAAAUACCGUCUUGUCACUGUAGAUUGCCUGUCUUUAAUGUCACUGUCAUGUAGCUCCGAACAAAUGGAGGUAAGAUACAGAAGUGAGAACUUUUUUGUUUUGCAGCAUAUAAGGCAACUUCACUAAUGCUGGUGCCAUAAUAAAAUACACCCAGUAUAUUCUAUAAAGUGGUAGGUAAAUAAGCGGUGACAAUGUAGAUUUGAGCAGUCCCUUUACUCGUCUUGUUGAGAACACGAUAAACUAUCUAAUGCUGGGGUCACAACAAAUUACACAAUAAACAGUAUGCUCUGUAAAAUGGUUAGCUUCAAGAAAAGUAACCAGUCAUAGAAACCAUGCUAAAAUAAAAUGAACGAGCAGAAUAUUCUCCCCAGGCCCGGCUAGGAGAAGAGUAAUUCAAAGUAAGAAAUGGUUUGGACUGUAAUGACCUGUUCAAUCAAUGCUUGCAUGGAAAGUGGAUGCGAAAUGAUGAUAAUUCCAUGUUGUAUUGUUUUUCCUUCUUUUAUUCCAUAAUUCAAUAUCAUCAUGGUAAUGUCUAUUUUUCCAUGCUUGCAUGGGUCAGCUGAUUCUGCAAAAACCCCAUCACUUGAUAAUUUGCUUUUGUAAUGUCCUCUCAUUUGUAGGACUUGUGGCAAGUAAAAAUAUUAUUGUUAUUAUUAUUAUUAUCAUUUUGAACAAUGAGAUAUUUUAGAAAAAUUCUUCUUCUUCUUCUUCUUCCCCCCCAUCUUCCUCUUCUUUUUCCUCCUCCUCCUCUUAUUCCUCCUCCUCCUCCUCUUCUUCUUCUUCUUCUUCUUCUCCACCUCCUCCUCCUCUUCUUCUUCUUCCUCCUCUUCUUCUUCUUCUUCUUCUUCUUCUUCUUCUUCUUCUUCUUCUUCUUCUUCUUAUUAUUAUUAUUAUUAACAACAACAACAAUAAUGAUGAUAAUAGUUUCAGCAUCUAUUUCUUCACACUAGCAUGAAAUGCUUUAUAGGUUGACUAGCUGGCUAGCUGGCUGAUUGGCAAAUUGCAUUAGGCAAGAGCAAAUAUGAAAUCCAUAAAUGUCUGAUAUAUUUUUACAGAUUUGAUUUAUGUAGCGAGUGAUGUUAAUAUAAUAAUUAUGUUGUAAAUAUGAAUAACAGAGCAUUAUAGUGAAGCAGACUGCUCUCUCUCUCUGCACACAAGCAGAAAGGAUUGAGCACAUUCAGAGAUUCUGAACAGAGUACUAGAAAGAGCAGAGAGGGUAAGACCCUAUUCAAGUUGACAGAAUAUAGAUUGAAAAAUAAUUGCAGUGAUAAUGAUGAUGAUAAAACUAUUACUGCAACUACAUGGAGAUGUUCGUGAUGAUAACACUACUACUACAACCACAUGAUUAUGUUCUUGAUGAUGCUAGUAUGAUUACAGCUACAUGGUAAUGAUGAUGAUAAUAGUAUAGCCAAAUGGUAAUAAUAAUAUUUUAGGAUUUGCAGAGGAAGCAGGAAAAAAAAUAAUGAAAAAAAAAAAAAUACCCAAGUGAUUGAUAUGCAUUUAAAAAGUUAGCUCAUUGAUUAGUGAACUGGUAAUGACUAACCUGCCAACAUUCUGUGUCCUUUUGUCUCUUCUAUUGCUACUAAAAUAGUUUUUGUUCACUGAUAAACUAGAAAACUUUACCAGCAAUGUCCAAGUCCCUCCUUAUUCACCUAACUCCUCUCUUCAACCCUACUGUAUUUUAUUUCUCAAACCCAACUCUAAGCACAAUAUUCUCCAUUUCUUUCUUCAGAUAACUAAAACUCUUUGGUGCAUCCUCUUAGUUCCUAUUUUCCUUAGAGUAAUCAACCCUCAGAAGUUCAAAAUUAAACAUUAAGUGCAUCAACCUUAUUUUGAAGAGACAGUGGGCAGUCAUCAUCAUCAUCAUCAUCAUCAUUCACUGUCCCCACUUUCCAUGCUGGCAUGGGUUGGACAGUUUGACCGAGGGCUGGCAAGCCAGAAGGCUCCAAUCUGAUCUGGUAAAGUUUCUACAGCUGGAUGCCCUUCCUAACACCAACAAGUGUCCCUAAUUAUUAAAUUAUGUUACUUGACAUGGAAAUACAGGCUUAUUUAAGAGAUUAAAUAGGACAAGGUUGUCCUAUCAGGUAAAAGUAAAUCCAAAUAGCAUAAAACAGUAUUUCUACAGGAUUAUUUAGGUGAGAUUACUUACUUGUCCAUCAUAAACAAAACAAUUAUAAUUCUUACUUUCUUAUUGCUUAACUUCAGGAUAGUCCUGGUUCAGCAAACCUAUGAUGAGAAGCAACUCAAACAUAACAGUGAUGUUUUUCUUUAUUCACCUCUGUAUUAUGUAAUGUGCCCUCCAUUACUGUUGUUCUUGAGCUUAAGAUCAGUCCUUGUCCACCAGAUCAAUGAUAUUCUAUUUAUGACCAUCCUGCCUUUAUAUUCAAGUAAUGUAUCAAGGACUAUAUUAUCUAAUGAGUCUUUUCUUCUUAUUGUUUAGUCCAAGGUCAGCUCUAAUCCAGUAGAAUUAAUAAUAAAAGAUGUUCCUACUGGGAAUAUUUUUAUUUUAUUCAGACAUAAUGUAUCUAUGACUACACUAUGAAAUAUGACUUUCUAAUUUUAAACAGUAGGCAGGGUGUCAUUUGAAAGAAAUUUGGCAGCUAUUUCUAACAGAUUAAGCUAGCUGUAACUUCACAGAGGCUGCUUUGUUGUUUAUGUUGAUGCUGAAGUAAAAGAUAUUAACAACUGUAGUUGAUUCUCUGAUGGGAUGUAAAAUAAGUUCAAUUGUAAUUGGCUGCUGAAGUUUCAUCUAUAACAAUUACAAACACAGUUUAGGUUUCUGAGAAGUAGUUGAAAUGCUGUCUAAACCAGCUAAUUUAUUGAAAUAUAGAAGAACAUGUUUAGAUGAUUUUUUUUUCAUUUUUUUACUUAAUAUAUUCUUGAGUCUGGAAGCUGUUAUAGUGUUGUAGGCAGUUUUAUACAAUUUUCAUGAUGACUUAGUUUUUGUUUUCAUUAGAUACAUACAUUGUUUUUCUGCUAUGUAUACAAACAUCCUAAGCCACAUUUAAACAAAGAUUACCUGAUUAAUUAGAAACUCAUUUACCAACAAAUUAAAACUUCUAACCCACAGAUGUAUUGUCUGUUCUCUGCCUAUUCUAUCGCAACAGCUCCAGCUUCAUUGAAUUAGCUGCUUACAUACCACUUUCAUUCAGAUCUACAAGCCUCUCCACCCCAUGUUAAAUGUCAAAUCCUGCAUUAAUCACUUCCAAUAAUCAGAUUUUCAACCUUCUGAAAUUUCCAUCUUCGUAUGUUCAAACGGAACAUCAACCAAAUCAAUUGCACCAGCCUGAGAAUGUUACUGAGGGGUAUUGGAAUGCCCCUUCCUCCUCCUAAACCAUUAAGCAAAAAGUUAUACCCAUUUUCUUAUAAUUGGAUAGUUUAAAUUCUUAUAAUUGCAUGGUUUGAAAUUUGCUAUUUUGACGAAAUGUUAGAGUAAUCAGUUGAGGUUGUGAAUCUUCAAAAGUCUAGAUAACCAUUAAAUCCAUAUUGCUGAAUUUCUCAACAACAUAAACCGUUGUAAGCAAAUGAAUGUGCCUAACUAAUGAAUUCCAUAUAAUUACGUGAAUGAUAGUUGGAGCCUAUAACCUUGUGGUGUACAGUACAACAUCAUCAGUAUGCCUGAAAGCAUACUUGAAGAGAUAUAUUUAUCAUAAGAAUAGUUUUUGUGUAAAAUACAAAAUACUCUGAUAUAACUUUACCCCUUUC